GAACAAGUCCGCGACGCGGACGUGCUCCUCGCAAACUGCCCGACUUUCUCCUUCACGUCUCCAACUCUAAAUCCUCUAACCUCAAAGGUUCCAGCCCCAAUUCACUUAGAAACAUGAAAUCCCUCAAUAUUCAAUAGAUUUCAACUCAACAACACAAUCCAAUCAUGUCCCAAACCAACAAGAACUUCUACACAACCCAACUACAACUUCAACAACAUUAACAACACAACUAACAUCUUUAACAACUCCAACAACUUUAACCACAACAACUAACAACUUUAACAACAUAAACAAUCCUUUCUUAAUAAAUAGAAGGGGCUAGGUGUGUGGGGGAAAGGAUCACCCAACACUAAAAGCUCACAUACCUUGAUAGGGAUCACCCCCGACGAAAAUCCACGAUGAUCUUGUCGGAAACUUGUUGAUCUCCUCUUUCUUCUCUCCUUCUUCUCCUUCUUCUCUUCUUCUUCUCUUCUUCACUCUCAAGAACCCUAACCUUCACUCUCUUAAAAUGGAACAAAAAUGAUCCAAAUAUCAGCCUAACACAAC
rnacentral:lncRNA from 1 species